rnacentral:rRNA from 1 species
AUUGAACGCUGGCGGUAUGCUUAACACAUGCAAGUCGAACGGUAACAGGCCUUCGGGCGCUGACGAGUGGCGGACGGGUGAGUAACGCGUAGGAAUCUGCCUGUUAGUGGGGGACAACGUGGGGAAACCCACGCUAAUACCGCAUACGCCCUACGGGGGAAAGGAGGGGAUCUUCGGACCUUUCGCUAACAGAUGAGCCUGCGUUAGAUUAGCUAGUUGGUAGGGUAAAGGCCUACCAAGGCGACGAUCUAUAGCUGGUCUGAGAGGACGAUCAGCCACACUGGGACUGAGACACGGCCCAGACUCCUACGGGAGGCAGCAGUGGGGAAUAUUGGACAAUGGGCGAAAGCCUGAUCCAGCAAUACCGCGUGUGUGAAGAAGGCCUUAGGGUUGUAAAGCACUUUCAAUUGGGAGGAAAACCUAUCGAUCAAUACCCGAUAGCUUGACAUUACCUUUAGAAGAAGCACCGGCUAACUCCGUGCCAGCAGCCGCGGUAAUACGGAGGGUGCGAGCGUUAAUCGGAAUUACUGGGCGUAAAGCGUGCGUAGGCGGUUCGUUAAGUCAGAUGUGAAAGCCCUGGGCUCAACCUGGGAACUGCAUUUGAAACUGGCGGACUAGAGUUUAGUAGAGGGGAGUGGAAUUUCAGGUGUAGCGGUGAAAUGCGUAGAUAUCUGAAGGAACACCAGUGGCGAAGGCGACUCCCUGGACUAGAACUGACGCUGAGGUACGAAAGCGUGGGUAGCAAACAGGAUUAGAUACCCUGGUAGUCCACGCCGUAAACGAUGUCGACUAGCCGUUGGCCCUAUUUACAGGGUUAGUGGCGCAGCU